GUCCUAGCCGUAAACGGUGCGCAUUUGCUGUGGGCGGAAUCGACCCCGUCCGUGGCGAAGCUAACGCGAUAAAUGCGCCGCCUGGGAAGUACGGUCGCAAGAUUAAAACUCAAAGAAAUUGACGGGGGCCUGCACAAGCGGUGGAGUAUGUGGCUUAAUUCGAUGCAACGCGAAGAACCUUACCUGGCCUUGACAUGCAGGUAGUAGAAGCCCGAAAGGGUGACGAGGUAGCAAUACCAGCUUGCACAGGUGCUGCAUGGCUGUCGU
rnacentral:rRNA from 1 species